AAACUGGUUCCUUGUGACAAAGUUCUUGUAAAACACCAGCUGGAAUGGAAAACAGCUCUACCUCUCUUUUAAAUCAGAACCAGUGAAGGCGGUGAAGGUCCUGUGUGAGUGUCUGGAGGCGGUUGGAGGAUGGAUGGCGGCUAACAGAUUGAGGUUGAAUCCUGACAAGACAGAAGUACUGUUUUUGGGGGACAGGAGGCGGGCAGGUGUGGAGGAUUCCCUGGUCCUGAAUGGGGUAACUGUGCCCCUGAAGGACCAGGUGCGCAGCCUGGGAGUCAUUUUGGACUCACAGCUGUCCAUGGAGGCACAGGUCAAAUCCGUGUCCAGGGCAGCUGUUUACCAGCUCCAUCUGGUACGUAGGCUGAGACCCUAUCUGCCUGCGGACUGUCUCGCCAGAGUGGUACAUGCUCUGGUUAUCUCCCGCUUGGACUACUGCAAUGCACUCUACGUGGGGCUACCUUUGAAGGUGACUCGGAAACUACAACUAAUCCAGAAUGCGGCAGCUAGACUGGUGACUGGGAGCGGCCGCCGAGACCAUAUAACACCGGUCUUGAAAGACUUGCAUUGGCUCCCAGUACGUUUCCGAGCACAAUUCAAAGUGUUGGUGCUGACCUUUAAAGCCCUAAACGGCCUCGGUCCAGUAUACCUGAAGGAGCGUCUCCACCCCCAUCAUUCUGCCCGGACGCUGAGGUCCAGCGCCGAGGGCCUUCUGGCGGUUCCCUCAUUGCGAGAAGCAAAGCUACAGGGAAUCAGGCAGAGGGCCUUCUCGGUAGUGGCGCCCACCCUGUGGAACACCCUUCCAGCAGAUGUCAAAGUGAUAAAUAACUACCUGACAUUCAAGAGACAUCUUAAGGCAGCCCUGUUCAGGGAAGUUUUUAACAUGUGAUAUUUUAUUGUAUUUUUGGUUUUUAUGGAAGCCGCCCAGAGUGGCUGGGGAGGCCCAGCCAGAUGGGCGGGGUAUAAAUAAUAAAUUAUUAUUAUUAUUAUUAUUAUUAUUAUUAUUAUUAUUAUAAAACAGAGGAGGGAUGAAACUGUCUUGGUGUCCAAGCUGAGCAGAUGGAGUG
rnacentral:lncRNA from 1 species